rnacentral:lncRNA from 1 species
CAUAGAUUAUGAAGAUGGCAGGUCCGAUUUUACCCCUAGAAUGGUCUCUGAGGACUUCAUGGCAGGAACGCCCUUCCCUUUUGGAUUUGGAGGCAUUAGUGGCCGUACUGCCCUUUAUAAACUAGAGGAAAGCAUUGAAGAGGACGAGGAAGAGGAAAAUGAAAGAGAAGAUGAGGAAAAGGAAAAGGAAUUCGUUGGUGUCCCAAUCAUUGAAAGGAUCACUACCAUUUCGAACCUAUCCACAUCACUCAAAAAUACUAGCUUA